GAUGACUGGGGUGAAGUCGUAACAAGGUAGCCGUAUCGGAAGGUGCGGCUGGAUCACCUCCUUUCUAGGGAA
rnacentral:rRNA from 1 species